rnacentral:rRNA from 1 species
CCAGACUCCUACGGGAGGCAGCAGUAGGGAAUCUUUCACAAUGGGCGAAAGCCUGAUGGAGCAACGCCGCGUGCAGGAUGAAGGCCUUCGGGUUGUAAACUGCUUUUAUAAGCGAGAAAUAUGAUGGUAACUUAUGAAUAAGGAUCGGCUAACUCCGUGCCAGCAGCCGCGGUAAUACGGAGGAUGCGAGCGUUAUCCGGAUUUAUUGGGUUUAAAGGGUGCGCAGGCGGAAGAUCAAGUCAGCGGUAAAAUUGAGAGGCUCAACCUCUUCGAGCCGUUGAAACUGGUUUUCUUGAGUGAGUGAGAAGUAUGCGGAAUGCGUGGUGUAGCGGUGAAAUGCAUAGAUAUCACGCAGAACUCCGAUUGCGAAGGCAGCAUACCGGCGCUCAACUGACGCUCAUGCACGAAAGUGUGGGUAUCGAACAGGAUUAGAUACCCCCGUA